CCCUUCUGCUCUGUGGUCUAGGUAGUCUCCACCAUUGGAGAUCUAAAUAAAUCUAGCUUCUAUUAUUAUUCCACAUUUUCCAAAAGUUGUAUUAUUACUGUAUCUGCCUUUUGGCUUCUCUCCAAUGUUUGAGUAACAGAAGUGGAAGACUUUUUUUUUUUCCAGAUUUGGCCUUUUAAUUUCUCAUUUCCUCUACAUUUCUUUACAAAUUUGGUUCUAAGGUGGUUGACAGAGUAGAACCAAAAACUUGCAGAAACUGGGAGCUGCUGCUCAGUCCUGCAUGCAGUAGUGUUGCUUUCAGAGCUCUGCUUCAUUUCUAGACAUGUUUCCAGCUGAUGAGUUUUUGUGAGGAGCAGCAACAUGGUGAGCAUGCUGACACCAAAGAAUAGAAAGAAACCAGGGCAGCCCUUCUCCCUGGGCUCCUAUGUGCCCUGGUGCUCAUGAACACAGCUCAAAGUACAAAUGGCAUUGCCCUGAGGGAGCCUUGUACUCACCAGGUGGGUCCAGUGCUAUGAGAGAGAAGCUUUGACUUUACGCAUCUACCUCUACUACAGCUCUUAGAAAAAUAUCACAUUAGUGCUAGCUGAUGUCAUCAAAUCCCUAUAAAAAGCAUCAUAGCAACAAUCUGAGGUCAUGGCAGCAGUACAUCUUGGAGCUGUGGAGGUCUUGGACUACACGGUAUGUUUGUUAUGUCAAAGACCUUUUCCUGGACUCUAGCUGCAGGUUCUAGCACGUAUUUGUGUUUGACAAGCACACAUAGCCUGUCUCUGCCCUGAUCCAAGCAAACUGGAAGUCAUGUAACCACAACUGGCAUGGCAGUAAGUCUAAGAGAUAAAAGGUUGAGAGUCUGAGGUAGGAUUGGAAUAAAGCUAUGUCUGCCUGCAAAAAAUACUAUGCAUUCAUGCACUUUCAGUCUCCCCGCCAAAAAUAUAAAAGUUUAUAGGAUGUAUGAAAAAAAAAUCACUUCCCUGCAUCAACUGAAGCUAAUCUGCAUCUUUAUAGGUUUCAACAAAUACCUGGUGGAAAGAUCCCUGUUGGAUGAGCCCCAGCAUGUGGCUCUUGUCAAAACUUACUACAUAGAUUUCAUCAUCAUGAGACAUUGAUCUGUUUCCUGUGUCUGCUUGCAGUCAGAUCUAUUUACUUUGGUCUUUAAAUAACCUAUUGCUGUACUUGAGGGGUUUUUCUUAGCCCUGCAGAAGUAGAAGGCAACUGGAGUUCUGAUUCACAUGUUGUAAGUUAGUUUUUUUUAGCAUUCCCAUUGUGACUUAUUUUUAGAGAGUAUGACCCAGAAAGUAUCAGGCUUUACUUUAGUAGAGCUCUCAGUGAUGGACAGCAGCAAACCCAUCCUUUCAGUGCUGAACUGAACAGGUUUGAUAUAGAAACAAUUGCAAUGUAACAAAUGGGGAACCCCAGGAUGCCAUUUUUACAAGUUUGCUUCUUGUAAAAGUCUUCUACUCUUUUACAUUUGGUUUCUCAACAAAAGAAAGGCCUCCUCCUUUACUGGAAUAAAAAAAUUCUCUGGGCAGCCUGGUCUAGUGGCUGGCAACCCUGCACAUAGCAGGGGGGUUGAAACUCAAUGAUCACUGUGGUCCUUUUCAACCCAGGCCAUUCUAUGAUUCUAUGAUUCUAUAUGAAAAAUGGAAAAGAGAAAGAAACCAUUUAGGGCUGAAGGAAUGCUUACAGAUCCUGUGGUUUUGAUAGGUUAUAAAAAAAUAAAGAUCAAACACCUGAGCAUUUGAAGUUUUCUUUCUUGAAUUGUCAAAAGUCACAUAUAGAUGUAUCUUGAUCUUUCCUUGUAAGAAUAAGAAAGACAAGGUAUAUACCCUUCUCUUGUUCUAGGCCAUGGCUCUGAGUCCCACAUUGUGAUUUGGACAACUGUUUCACUGUCCUACAGGAGUGAGAUAUCUUCUCAAAGUUUGUUCUCUCAGCUGAACUCUCCACUGCUGUUAUAUUGCAGGAAGAAGAGAUGUGCAGUGCUCUGCAUCUGUAUCCAGUAAAAUACCACUAAAUUUGCUGUCCAGAGGCUCAUCUCUUUGAUAGCAGAGAGGAAAUAAAUGCCCCAGUUGUAAUGAUCUCUUCUUGCUCCCACUUCUGGGACUACAGGCAUCGUUACAGUUGCAACAAGGUGAAUCAGGAGAGAAUAACAAUUCUAAAAGCAUGAUGUAUCACAAUCUGAGACUGCUGUUCAGUUCUGUGUCUGCUUUGGCAUCCUCCAAAGUGGGCAUGGUGGUGAUGGCUGAUCUUAGAGGUCUUUUCCAACCUUUUAUGAUUUGAUGAUUCUAUGAUCUUAGUUAGAGGAAGUAGCAGUAUUAAACAUUUUCUUCCCCUCUUUAUUCCAGGCAUUGUUCUCAAAAUGUAGUUUGUUGCAUGAUAAAGAUCUUUGCUGUCAGGGAGAAGAAAGAGUUACAUGAAAAUUCUGCUUUGCUUAAGGAGCACCAUUCCUGAAGGUUUAAUAGUUGUACCACUUUAAGCAGAAUGGACUUUGGCCUGCAGAAAAUGACAGGCUUGGUUUCGUUAUGCUAUUGAUAAACAGAGAAACUACUUAAAAAGUUUUCAAAAUUCUUUUCAUCUGACAGGUAACUGAUAAAUCUUCUUGGAUUAAUGGAUCAUUAUACAGGAUAUCCCUGCAGGCUAAGGUUCUGCUCCUUCCCUACUGGCAAGUUACAGCACGAUGAAGGUAUGCAAGUGCCAAAAGCAUCUCUUCUAUCUUGAUUGGUGUCACCCAGCAAAGUGCUGGAAUACCAAGCAACCACAACAAGGUCAGUUGCCAUCAAAAGCCUGUCAUGCUGGCACUGAGAACUAGAACUAUAAAAAAGAAACAUCAUUUCUAUUUCUUUGCACAGAAAGUGAUGUUUGUAUGUUUAUCUGAAGAUGUUGUUUAUCUAAAGAUUAUGUUUAUCUUUGGAUCCUCAUCCAUAACUAGAGCUGACAUUCAAAAAAAAAAAAAAAAAAAAUACUGAAAGUACCACCAGCACCAAUGUGAAAUAGCUAAUUAACUUCACACUGGGCUUUGUUUCCAUUUGGUGGAGGUCUUAUUUCUAAUAGUGUCUGGAUACCACUGGAAGUCAUGCAUGGAGCUGCUUGCCUUUUUCCCUACCAGCAAUAGCUCUCUUCUUUCAAGGAUGACAGGCCAAUAUCAUCGUAGGGUGUACUGAGCUCGUGCCAGCAAUAUUUCUCCUUUAUGGAUCAAAUAGCAGGAAUUGCAAUGAACCUUCCUCAAAUUCUCUUUCAGGAUCUCCUCCAGGCAAAACUUUGAGGUUUGCAUAACUCUGAAAAGUAAUCUGACUUCACUUUGGCAGUGAAAAAGAUGCCUCUUAUUUUUGCCAAGCAAAAAUAUAUUUCUUCUUAGCAACAUCUUUCAUUGCUACUAUGUCAUUUCUUUCUUAUCCUUCCCUCUCUCCUAUUUUUUUCCCCUAUUGCUGUGGUUUUUCCUUCUUUUAAGGACAUUUCUACAUAUACUGUUUCGGGCAUGCUGAGAGUGGUAUAUCAGAGUGUGUGAAUUUGAUGUGGUCAAGAAAAUCAUUUUACUUUGUGUUCCGAAUGUGUUGCUUAGAACUGAAAGAUGGUAUGAAUAAAUGGAAAAAUUGAUUUUCCUUCAUUUCUUGAAGUACUCCCAAAAGAAUCCCUAAGGACUACCCCCCCCCCCAAAAAAAGGAAAAUAAGAAUGUCCCUUUGUAAUUAGAAAGAGAAAUGUGUUUUUAAUAUAACACUGCCAGAAUAAAAGCAAAGCAGCUAUCAUCUUCAUUUUUGAUCAAGGCAAAGAAUUUCUGUGAUGCUUUUCAUUUUCUCAUAUGAAAUAUUAAGCUCAGUUUGGAGACAACUACAGCCACAGGGAUGUCAAGAGGCGGUUCUUUCUGCCAUUAGAACUUCAUAACAGCAGCUACAGAAAGCUUAGAUCAGAAUCUCCAACAUCCUUUGGGCGGUUUCUGGAAACAGUUUGUGUCUCAAAUGUGGAUACUGCUUUGCUCCCCCCAAAAUUAAGAUGUGUGUAUGUUCUGCUCGGUAGCUUCUUGCAGCAUUCUUGUGGGUUCUUGGGAAAUUCCUGAAUAUAGCAAGCCCUACAGUGAUCACCUCAAAGUCCUGAUGAUUUUCUGUGUUCUGAAACAUCACAGAUGUGCCCUACCUUUAAGUCCAAGAUGCCCAUGAAUUGAUUAUUCUCCCCUGAUUCAAGCUUUUAUCUUUUGAGGAAGAGGAACGAGAAAACCAUUGAGCUGCACAUUAUGGAUUUAAAUCAAGAAGUGUCAGAGGGGCUGUGCAAAGAGGGGUGCUGCUAAGACAGGUUAGGAAAAGGUCAGGCUGGAUCACAUCGAUCACUAGUUACAGCUUUAACCAUGCAGAGGAAAAUCGCUAAGGCACAACAGCAGCAAUGCACAGCUUUCAUCACAACUUUGUCAGCUCUGUGGGUGAUGGAGUACAGGUUGUGAGUGAGUCCUUGAUGUUAACUACGGUAAUGCCCCAUGGAGUUAAAGUUAAUAAUAAAGAGGGGAACAAGAGAACGCCAUGUUGUACAAAAGGGGCAGGCUGAAGUGAUUUAUUGGCAGGGCUGAAUUUUUCAUUACGAUGUAAUGGGGGAAAAUUUUUAAAACACCAAUAAUUUUUAGUUUUCUAAGUUUUCUAUGGUUAGAGAGGAGUGCUUUGCAGAAAGAAGAGCAUGCAGAGGAUGUUCUUGCCUUACACUGCAUAAUUAUUCCAUAGUGAAAAGUACCUGCUCUAUUCUGUGUGCUCUCAUCAAGCAUUUACUCUCUAAUCCUUCUCAUAAAUUAAGCAGACUGUACUCACCCACUGCUCCUCAGAGUUUUUUGCUGCUUGAUGUCAUUGUGCUUAACUCAUCCUUUACAUCAGGGUUAAUCCUGCCUUGCUUCACUUUAGUGCUACCCCUACUUAAUUUUCUUAAUUGUUGUGGUAUACAGGUAGUUUUUUAGAACUUUAAAAUCAAGACAUCGCUGAAACAAAAAGAGAACCUCUGUUAAUAGGAGCAGAAGAGUAAUUUCACUCUUUUCUCUCAGUAGAUCACAUUCAUAAAGAGAAACUGUAAGGAGGAAAGAGUUCACUCUACAUAAGGUCACUUUUAAGGAGAAAACAGAAUCAGGAAACAGAUUUCAGUACAUUACAUCACAAAUACAAAGCAUACCACUCCACACAAAGGGAUGGCAUGAUGAGGGCCUCUCUGUACCAUUACGUUUCAACCAAACAAAAAUUGAUGAGAAAGAUUGUUUUCAUAAGCCAAAGAUGCAUCAUCUAUUGGCCACACAAGAUGGAAUCAUCGUCCAUCAGUUUUAACUCUUCUGCUCAUAGCAACAUUAAGUGAGAUUAAAGAUAUCACUUAAAAUCAAAAAAGCUUCCUUAUUUUCCCAACUUAACAAACCCUAGGAUAUGCAGCUGUUUCCCUUUAUUGAGAAGGUGAAAUAGACCAGAGGAGCCAUUCAGUCACCUACGCAGCAUCACUGCAGAUGAGCUUACAGUUGGUCUGCUGGAGAACCUGUGGACUGAAAGGUUACUCCCCAGCAGUAUUAAACCAAAAAUAAACUAGUGAUUUUCCUGAGCAAGAGAGUGAGGUAAAAGUCAGUGCUUUGGUGUUUGGUGGAGCUCAGUGACUUCUGGUGUCACCCAGGGUUUUGGAAGUCAGCUUUGCUGCUGCUUUUCUUUCAACAUAAUUGUUUCCAUCAGGAAAAUAUGGGUUCUAAAUCCAAAUACUAACAUUUU
ensembl:lncRNA